rnacentral:rRNA from 1 species
UACGUAGGGUGCAAGCGUUGUCCGGAAUUAUUGGGCGUAAAGAGCUCGUAGGCGGUCUGUCGCGUCGGCUGUGAAAACUCGGGGCUCAACUCCGAGCUUGCAGUCGAUACGGGCAGGCUAGAGUUCGGCAGGGGAGACUGGAAUUCCUGGUGUAGCGGUGGAAUGCGCAGAUAUCAGGAGGAACACCGAUGGCGAAGGCAGGUCACUGGGCCGCAACUGACGCUGAGGAGCGAAAGCAUGGGGAGCGAACAGG